UAGAGUUUGAUCCUGGCUCAGAACGAACGCUGGCGGCGUGUUUAAGACAUGCAAGUCGCACGGGACUAUUUGAGUAGCAAUACAAGAAUAGUCUAGUGGCGCACGGGUGAGUAACACGUGAAUUACAUGCCCUGCAGAGGGGGAUAGCCCAGGGAAACUUGGAUUAAUACCCCAUGGUCCCAGCACUUUUUAAAGGUUCCGAAGUCCGGCAGGACGGCGGAGUUUUCAAAAAGUGCUGGGUAAAGGUGGCCGCAAGGCUGUCGCUGCAGGAUUGGUUCGCGCCCUAUCAGCUUGUUGGUGAGGUAACGGCUCACCAAGGCUACGACGGGUACCUGGUCUGAGAGGACGAUCAGGCACACUGGAACUGAGACACGGUCCAGACACCUACGGGUGGCAGCAGUCGAGAAUAAUUCACAAUGGGGGCAACCCUGAUGGUGCAACGCCGCGUGGAGGAUGAAGGUCUUCGGAUUGUAAACUCCUGUCAUCCGGGAGUAAGACCUGGCGAUGAAUAGUCGACAGGGUUGAUAGUACCGGAAGAGGAAGGGACGGCUAACUUCGUGCCAGCAGCCGCGGUAAUACGAAGGUCCCGAGCGUUGUUCGGAAUCACUGGGCGUAAAGGGAGCGUAGGCGGCGUGGUAAGUCAGAUGUGAAAUCCCGGGGCUCAACCCCGGAACUGCAUCCGAUACUGCCGUGCUAGAGGAUUGGAGAGGUAGCUGGAAUUCACGGUGUAGCAGUGAAAUGCGUAGAUAUCGUGAGGAACACUCGUGGCGAAAGCGAGCUACUGGACAACUCCUGACGCUGAGGCUCGAAGGCCAGGGUAGCGAAAGGGAUUAGAUACCCCUGUAGUCCUGGCAGUAAACGGUGCACGCUUGGUGUGAGGGGAAUCGACCCCCCUUGUGCCGGAGCAAACGCGUUAAGCGUGCCGCCUGGGAAGUACGGUCGCAAGACUAAAACUCAAAGAAAUUGACGGGGACCCGCACAAGCGGUGGAGUAUGUGGCUUAAUUCGAUGCAACGCGAAGAACCUUACCAAGGCUUGACAUGCAUCUCUAAGCGCGUGAAAGCGCGUGACCCUUCGGGGGAUUUGCACAGGUGCUGCAUGGCCGUCGUCAGCUCGUGUCGUGAGAUGUUGGGUUAAGUCCCGCAACGAGCGCAACCCUUGUGAUUAGUUGCCAGCGGGUAAAGCCGGGAACUCUAGUCAGACUGCCCAGAUCAACUGGGAGGAAGGUGGGGACGACGUCAGGUCAGUACGGCCCUUACGCCUUGGGCUGCACACGUACUACAAUGCCCAGUACAAUGAGAACCGAGACCGCGAGGUGGAGGAAAUCUGCAAAACUGGGCCCAGUUCGGAUUGGAGGCUGCAACUCGCCUCCAUGAAGUCGGAAUCGCUAGUAAUGGCGCACCAUCUACGGCGCCGUGAAUACGUUCCCGGGUCUUGUACACACCGCCCGUCACAUCAUGGAAGCCGGUCGCACCCGAAGUGCCCGUGCCAACCCCGCUCUGCGGGGAGGCAGGGUCCUAAGGUGUAGCUGGUAACUGGGAUGAAGUCGUAACAAGGUAGCCGUA
rnacentral:rRNA from 1 species